GGGUUGUGAGGUUAAGCGACUAAGCGUACACGGUGGAUGCCCUGGCAGUCAGAGGCGAUGAAGGACGUGCUAAUCUGCGAUAAGCGUCGGUGAGGUGAUAUGAACCGUUAUAACCGGCGAUUUCCGAAUGGGGAAACCCAGUGUGUUUCGACACACUAUCAUUAACUGAAUCCAUAGGUUAAUGAGGCGAACCGGGGGAACUGAAACAUCUAAGUACCCCGAGGAAAAGAAAUCAACCGAGAUUCCCCCAGUAGCGGCGAGCGAACGGGGAGGAGCCCAGAGCCUGAAUCAGUGUGUGUGUUAGUGGAAGCGUCUGGAAAGGCGUGCGAUACAGGGUGACAGCCCCGUACACAAAAAUGCACAUAUUGUGAGCUCGAUGAGUAGGGCGGGACACGUGGUAUCCUGUCUGAAUAUGGGGGGACCAUCCUCCAAGGCUAAAUACUCCUGACUGACCGAUAGUGAACCAGUACCGUGAGGGAAAGGCGAAAAGAACCCCGGCGAGGGGAGUGAAAAAGAACCUGAAACCGUGUACGUACAAGCAGUGGGAGCCUCUUAAUGGGGUGACUGCGUACCUUUUGUAUAAUGGGUCAGCGACUUAUAUUCUGUAGCAAGGUUAACCGAAUAGGGGAGCCGAAGGGAAACCGAGUCUUAACUGGGCGUUAAGUUGCAGGGUAUAGACCCGAAACCCGGUGAUCUAGCCAUGGGCAGGUUGAAGGUUGGGUAACACUAACUGGAGGACCGAACCGACUAAUGUUGAAAAAUUAGCGGAUGACUUGUGGCUGGGGGUGAAAGGCCAAUCAAACCGGGAGAUAGCUGGUUCUCCCCGAAAGCUAUUUAGGUAGCGCCUCGUGAAUUCAUCUCCGGGGGUAGAGCACUGUUUCGGCAAGGGGGUCAUCCCGACUUACCAACCCGAUGCAAACUGCGAAUACCGGAGAAUGUUAUCACGGGAGACACACGGCGGGUGCUAACGUCCGUCGUGAAGAGGGAAACAACCCAGACCGCCAGCUAAGGUCCCAAAGUCAUGGUUAAGUGGGAAACGAUGUGGGAAGGCCCAGACAGCCAGGAUGUUGGCUUAGAAGCAGCCAUCAUUUAAAGAAAGCGUAAUAGCUCACUGGUCGAGUCGGCCUGCGCGGAAGAUGUAACGGGGCUAAACCAUGCACCGAAGCUGCGGCAGCGACACUAUGUGUUGUUGGGUAGGGGAGCGUUCUGUAAGCCUGUGAAGGUGUGCUGUGAGGCAUGCUGGAGGUAUCAGAAGUGCGAAUGCUGACAUAAGUAACGAUAAAGCGGGUGAAAAGCCCGCUCGCCGGAAGACCAAGGGUUCCUGUCCAACGUUAAUCGGGGCAGGGUGAGUCGACCCCUAAGGCGAGGCCGAAAGGCGUAGUCGAUGGGAAACAGGUUAAUAUUCCUGUACUUGGUGUUACUGCGAAGGGGGGACGGAGAAGGCUAUGUUGGCCGGGCGACGGUUGUCCCGGUUUAAGCGUGUAGGCUGGUUUUCCAGGCAAAUCCGGAAAACCAAGGCUGAGGCGUGAUGACGAGGCACUACGGUGCUGAAGCGACAAAUGCCCUGCUUCCAGGAAAAGCCUCUAAGCAUCAGGUAACAUCAAAUCGUACCCCAAACCGACACAGGUGGUCAGGUAGAGAAUACCAAGGCGCUUGAGAGAACUCGGGUGAAGGAACUAGGCAAAAUGGUGCCGUAACUUCGGGAGAAGGCACGCUGAUAUGUAGGUGAAGCGACUUGCUCGUGGAGCUGAAAUCAGUCGAAGAUACCAGCUGGCUGCAACUGUUUAUUAAAAACACAGCACUGUGCAAACACGAAAGUGGACGUAUACGGUGUGACGCCUGCCCGGUGCCGGAAGGUUAAUUGAUGGGGUUAGCGGUAACGCGAAGCUCUUGAUCGAAGCCCCGGUAAACGGCGGCCGUAACUAUAACGGUCCUAAGGUAGCGAAAUUCCUUGUCGGGUAAGUUCCGACCUGCACGAAUGGCGUAAUGAUGGCCAGGCUGUCUCCACCCGAGACUCAGUGAAAUUGAACUCGCUGUGAAGAUGCAGUGUACCCGCGGCAAGACGGAAAGACCCCGUGAACCUUUACUAUAGCUUGACACUGAACAUUGAGCCUUGAUGUGUAGGAUAGGUGGGAGGCUUUGAAGUGUGGACGCCAGUCUGCAUGGAGCCGACCUUGAAAUACCACCCUUUAAUGUUUGAUGUUCUAACGUUGGCCCGUAAUCCGGGUUGCGGACAGUGUCUGGUGGGUAGUUUGACUGGGGCGGUCUCCUCCUAAAGAGUAACGGAGGAGCACGAAGGUUGGCUAAUCCUGGUCGGACAUCAGGAGGUUAGUGCAAUGGCAUAAGCCAGCUUGACUGCGAGCGUGACGGCGCGAGCAGGUGCGAAAGCAGGUCAUAGUGAUCCGGUGGUUCUGAAUGGAAGGGCCAUCGCUCAACGGAUAAAAGGUACUCCGGGGAUAACAGGCUGAUACCGCCCAAGAGUUCAUAUCGACGGCGGUGUUUGGCACCUCGAUGUCGGCUCAUCACAUCCUGGGGCUGAAGUAGGUCCCAAGGGUAUGGCUGUUCGCCAUUUAAAGUGGUACGCGAGCUGGGUUUAGAACGUCGUGAGACAGUUCGGUCCCUAUCUGCCGUGGGCGCUGGAGAACUGAGGGGGGCUGCUCCUAGUACGAGAGGACCGGAGUGGACGCAUCACUGGUGUUCGGGUUGUCAUGCCAAUGGCACUGCCCGGUAGCUAAAUGCGGAAGAGAUAAGUGCUGAAAGCAUCUAAGCACGAAACUUGCCCCGAGAUGAGUUCUCCCUGAGACUUAGAGUCUCCUGAAGGAACGUUGAAGACGACGACGUUGAUAGGCCGGGUGUGUAAGCGCAGCGAUGCGUUGAGCUAACCGGUACUAAUGAACCGUGAGGCUUAACCUUACAACGCCGAAG
rnacentral:rRNA from 1 species